rnacentral:misc_RNA from 1 species
AAGUCGUAACAAGGUUUCCGUAGGUGAACCUGCGGAAGGAUCAUUACUGAGGUUACCGGGGGCGAGUUUGUGGGGGUUUAAGUGCUGGUACUCUCGGGUGCAUGUGCACGGCUCUCCUUCUCGUCUUCGUUCCUUCUAUCAACCCCUGUGCACUAUAUUAGGAUUAGAGAGAAGCGCGGCAGUUAAGGAUUAGCCUAGUAGUUGUGGGUCCGUCCCGCGGCGAAAGGUUAAUCUUGACGCGUGGUACCUCGAAGUCCUUAAUUAUUACAAACCACUAUUUAUGUCUUGUCAGAAUGUUCAGUCCCUCGUUGGACGCUAAAUAAAAUACAACUUUCAACAACGGAUCUCUUGGCUCUC